AUAAGUCCCAGGCCGGCAAGUAACUAUAGCGAUUGCGCGAAUCUUAUAUAGUUGGAACCGGUGAAGGUGUAAGCGUUGUCAGUCGACUACGUGUGUCGGAAAAAGCAACAUCGUAUUAAGCGCAACAUUGUGCUUUCGACAAAUUGUGACUUAAAUCGGUUUUUUUUUAGUGAAGUAUCAUAUGAUAUCGAAUUAUUUAUUAAUCCAGCUUGUUCUUCUAGCUGAUUCAUGAAAAUAUAAUUACGCUCGUAGUACGCCCGAUUAAUCGAUAAACCGACCGGCGUUUCCCAUAAAAACCUACCCGGCAAAUUGACACAGUGAGAUAAUUUGUUACACAAGAUAAAUGUCAACUAAACACAAAAAUCAAAAUAAAAUGAAAACUCAAAGACAAGUAUUGAACGCAAUUCAUCGGCUAAUUGAAUUCAUAGCCAGAAUGAUAUACAUGUUUAUUGCAUUUUUAAAAGGUCCUGCAGAAUCUCAACCACCUAUAAAGGAUUUAAUACUUUUACACAGUGCAACUACUUUAGCUUUUAAAAUUCGAAAUAGACAGUUAAUGUCAGAAGAAAUAGUACAAUCUUACAUAGAUAGGAUAAAAGAAAUUCAACCAGUGUUAAAUUGUAUGGUGGAAGAUCGCUUUGAGGAUGCUCUCAAAGAAGCAAAAAUAUGUGAUGAACUUUUGAAAUCUCAGAAUGCUCCAUCUCCUCAAGUAUUAGCUGAAAAGAAACCUUUCUUUGGUGUGCCUUUUACUACAAAAGAUUGCAUUGGAGUUGCUAACAUGAAACAAACAGCUGGUUUAACUGUUCGUAAGAAUAUUGUUUCCAAAUAUGAUGCAGAAGUGAUCAGAUUAAUGAGAGAUGCUGGAGCUAUCCCUCUAGCAACUACAAAUGUGUCAGAAUUAGCCAUGUGGUGGGAAACUUCCAAUUGUUUAUAUGGAACUACAAAAAACCCUUAUAAUACUAGACAUAUUGUUGGUGGAUCCUCUGGUGGUGAAGGUUGUAUACAAGCAGCAGCUGGUUCACCAUUAGGAAUAGGAUCAGAUAUUGGUGGAUCUAUUCGUAUACCGAGCUAUUUCAAUGGAAUUUUCGGACAUAAACCUUCUACAGGAAUAGUUUCAAAUGAUGGUCAAUAUCCGAGUGCACAAAGCGAAGAUCAAAAACGGUUACUCGCAAUUGGCCCUAUGUGCAGAUAUGCACAAGAUUUAUCGCCUAUUUUAAAAAUUCUGGCAGAUAAAAAUGCGGAUAUAUUACGUUUAAAUGAAAAAGUAGAUAUCUCGAAACUCAAGUUCUAUUAUAUGGAAGACGACGGUGGUCAACUCUUAACAUCUCCAGUUGAACUAGAAAUAAAAGAAGCAAUGAGGAAAGUGAUUCGAUAUCUAGAAAAAGCUUAUAAAGUCAAAGUGACUAAACUCAAUAUUAGAAAAUUAAAAAAGAGUACUGCAUUAUGGAUGGCAAAUAUGAGUUGUAAAGAUGAGAAAGAUUUCACGUAUGAAUUAUCAAAUAGAAAUGGUCAUAUAAACUUAUGGUGGGAAUUUUUGAAAUGGACAAUAUUCAUGAGUAAUCAUACAUUAAUAGCUCUUCUUACUGCUACGUUUGAAAGAUUUGCGGUGAAGCAUGGAAGCGACCAACACACUAAACUGAUACAAGAAAGUAGGGAACUUUAUCGAGAAUUUCAGGAUUGGAAUUGGCUCCUACCUUCUUCGUCUUCUUUUCUUACUAUUGCAUUGCGGAACAAUACUCUUUAUUAAAAUGGACAUAAUAUCUUUCUCGAGUCGUAUCGUGCAAACUGGUCAGAAUACUAGUCUAUAUUUUACGGAUAUUUUAGGUGAAGACGGUGUAUUUCUAUUUCCAACACAUCCAACUGCAGCGCCAUUACAUCAUGAACCGCUGGUAAAAGCAUUCAACUUUUCAUACACUGCUAUUAUUAAUGUAUUGGG
rnacentral:misc_RNA from 1 species